rnacentral:rRNA from 1 species
AUUGAACGCUGGCGGCAUGCCUUACACAUGCAAGUCGAACGGUAACAGGUCUUCGGAUGCUGACGAGUGGCGAACGGGUGAGUAAUACAUCGGAACGUGCCCGAUCGUGGGGGAUAACGAGGCGAAAGCUUUGCUAAUACCGCAUACGAUCUACGGAUGAAAGCGGGGGAUCUUCGGACCUCGCGCGGACGGAGCGGCCGAUGGCAGAUUAGGUAGUUGGUGGGAUAAAAGCUUACCAAGCCGACGAUCUGUAGCUGGUCUGAGAGGAUGAUCAGCCACACUGGGACUGAGACACGGCCCAGACUCCUACGGGAGGCAGCAGUGGGGAAUUUUGGACAAUGGGCGAAAGCCUGAUCCAGCCAUGCCGCGUGCAGGAUGAAGGCCUUUGGGUUGUAAACUGCUUCUGUACGGAACGAAAAGCCUCUUUCUAAUAAAGAGGGGUCAUGACGGUACCGUAAGAAUAAGCACCGGCUAACUACGUG